UUAGAGUUGAUCCUGAGCUCAGGAUGAACGCUAGCGUGUAGGCUUAACACAUGCAAGUCGAGGGGUACAUUGGUGCUUGCACCAGAUGACGACCGGCGCACGGGUGAGUAACGCGUAUGCAACCUGCCUGUAACUGGAGGAUAGCCCUUGGAAACGAGGAUUAAUACUGCGUAACAUUAUUGAAUCGCAUGGUUUAAUAAUCAAAUCUACGGAGGUUACAGAUGGGCAUGCGUGCCAUUAGUUAGAUGGUGAGGUAACGGCUCACCAUGACAUCGAUGGCUAGGGGUUCUGCAAGGAAGAUCCCCCACACUGGUACUGAGACACGGACCAGACUCCUACGGGAGGCAGCAGUGAGGAAUAUUGGUCAAUGGAGGCAACUCUGAACCAGCCAAGCCGCGUGAAGGAAGACUGUUCUAUGAAUUGUAAACUUCUUUUGUGGUAGAGUAAAUAUAGCUACGUGUAGUUAUUUGCAAGUAUACCAUGAAUAAGCAUCGGCUAACUCCGUGCCAGCAGCCGCGGUAAUACGGAGGAUGCAGGCGUUAUCCGGAUUUAUUAGGUUUAAAGGGUGUCUAGGCUGCCACAUAAGUCAGAGGUGAAAGUCGGUUGCUCAACAAUCGAAUUGCCUUUGAAACUGUGUGGCUCGAAUAUAGAUGAGGUAGGCGGAAUGUGUAGUGUAGCGGUGAAAUGCAUAGAUAUUACACAGAACACCAAUUGCGAAGGCAGCUUACCAAACUAUUAUUGACGCUGAAGCACGAAAGCGUGGGUAGCGAACAGGAUUAGAUACCCUGGUAGUCCACGCCGUAAACUAUGCUCACUCGCUGUUGGCAAUACAUCGUCAGCGGCUAAGGGAAACCGAUAAGUGAGCCACCUGGGGAGUACGAUCGCAAGAUUGAAACUCCACGGAAUUGACGGGGGCCCGUACAAGCGGAGGACCUGUGGUUUAAUUCGAUGAUACGCGAGGAACCUUACCUGG
rnacentral:rRNA from 1 species